UAUAAACUUCAUCUCCUGUGUUGUCAAUUUUUUCUUACACCUCCGAAAACAAUGGCUUUUCACUCAACCUUUCAUUGAGCUUUUCCACACCACUACUCAAAGUUGUGUCAAGAAAACGUAAUAAAGGAGCAAGACGCUCA